rnacentral:rRNA from 1 species
GGUAACAGGAAGCAGCUUGCUGCUUUGCUGACGAGUGGCGGACGGGUGAGUAAUGUCUGGGAAACUGCCUGAUGGAGGGGGAUAACUACUGGAAACGGUGGCUAAUACCGCAUAACGUCGCAAGACCAAAGAGGGGGACCUUCGGGCCUCUUGCCAUCAGAUGUGCCCAGAUGGGAUUAGCUUGUUGGUGAGGUAACGGCUCACCAAGGCGACGAUCCCUAGCUGGUCUGAGAGGAUGACCAGCCACACUGGAACUGAGACACGGUCCAGACUCCUACGGGAGGCAGCAGUGGGGAAUAUUGCACAAUGGGCGCAAGCCUGAUGCAGCCAUGCCGCGUGUAUGAAGAAGGCCUUCGGGUUGUAAAGUACUUUCAGCGGGGAGGAAGGUGUUGUGGUUAAUAACCGCAGCAAUUGACGUUACCCGCAGAAGAAGCACCGGCUAACUCCGUGCCAGCAGCCGCGGUAAUACGGAGGGUGCAAGCGUUAAUCGGAAUUACUGGGCGUAAAGCGCACGCAGGCGGUCUGUCAAGUCGGAUGUGAAAUCCCCGGGCUCAACCUGGGAACUGCAUUCGAAACUGGCAGGCUUGAGUCUUGUAGAGGGGGGUAGAAUUCCAGGUGUAGCGGUGAAAUGCGUAGAGAUCUGGAGGAAUACCGGUGGCGAAGGCGGCCCCCUGGACAAAGACUGACGCUCAGGUGCGAAAGCGUGGGGAGCAAACAGGAUUAGAUACCCUGGUAGUCCACGCCGUAAACGAUGUCUACUUGGAGGUUGUGCCCUUGAGGCGUGGCUUCCGGAGCUAACGCGUUAAGUAGACCGCCUGGGGAGUACGGCCGCAAGGUUAAAACUCAAAUGAAUUGACGGGGGCCCGCACAAGCGGUGGAGCAUGUGGUUUAAUUCGAUGCAACGCGAAGAACCUUACCUGGUCUUGACAUCCACAGAAGAAUCCAGAGAUGGAUUUGUGCCUUCGGGAACUGUGAGACAGGUGCUGCAUGGCUGUCGUCAGCUCGUGUUGUGAAAUGUUGGGUUAAGUCCCGCAACGAGCGCAAC